rnacentral:lncRNA from 1 species
GUCCUACCCAGUGUGAGGUGGAGAGACUCGCAGCCACUACCUAUGGGCAUGCCUACGUGCCGUCCUGCGAUGCAGGCGGGGCGUACCGACGGGCGCAAUGCCAACGGGAAGGCCCAUGCUGGUGUGUGGAUGCCAACGGGCGGGAGAUCCACGCAACUCGGAGCCAGGGGGACCGCCCUACUUGUGGCUCAGAGAGGCCGUGUGUUUCCGAGAGGCGGAGGGCCGUGUCCGGACUUCUCUACGGACCCUCCGGACCACUGGGCCGAGGUGGUCCGACCUCCGGUCUGGAAGAACGUGCGCAGCCCCAGGAGGAUGCCCGCCCGGCCGGGUCCUGCCCUCUGACCUUCGAGGAGCUGCUGGUGGGCUCGGAGCAGCUUCCCGAUCCCGAGCGGAGGCCCGACCCCGGGCGGCGGUCCGGCCCCAGUCGGCGCCCCGCCUGGCAGACCGUCCUCGGCGAGUUGGUGAGGGGGCUGUUCCCCACCCGGGAGCUGGCCCUCACGGCCCUCCGACUGGCCCGUGGCCCACGGCGGCUCCAGCGGGACCUGUUCGGGGGGAUGUUCCUGACCCGGCUGGGGCACCGGAACCUGUCAGGGGCAGUGGGUCCCCGGAGCACGGCGGACCUCAGCCGGUUCUUCCAGCCUCGGGGGGCACGGGGACCGGCCGGCCUGCCGCCUGACGGGGACGGCGUGGGACGUCUGGACACCCUGCUGACCCGCCCGGACUUCCUGCCCUUCCUGCGGCGCGUGGCGGCCGUUCCCUCCCCCCUUGCCCGGGACCUCGGCGAGGCGGUCCGCACGGUCCUUGAGGCCCAAGGCU